UACAGAGGGGGCAAGCGUUGUUCGGAAUUACUGGGCGUAAAGGGCGCGUAGGCGGCCUUCUAAGUCGAACGUGAAAUCCCCGGGCUCAACCUCGAGGCUGCUCCCGAAACUGGUCGCCUAGGGACUGGUAGAGGCUGGUAGAAUUCCCGGUGUAGCGGUGGAAUGCGUAGAGAUCGGGAAGAAUACCCGUGGCGAAGGCGGGUCUCUGGGCAGUAACUGACGCUGAGGAGCGAAAGCGUGGGGAGCGAACAGG
rnacentral:rRNA from 1 species